AUUUUUGCUAAUACACUUUACCAAACGACCCGUAAUGUUCAACACAACAUCAUAUGAGAAAUUAAGCAACAACAACCAAUCAAAUGAAAAAAAAUCCCCAUUACUCAUUAAAUGGUCAAAACCAAGACUAAAUAUGAGAAAAAACAACAAGAAGUUUGGUAUAUAAACUUAUAUAUAACUCCAUCAUAUUUUAUACAAACACACAUCUCUCCUCCAACAAAAAAACAAAGCAAAAAAAAUGAUAACAAAACCAAUAUUUGGUUUUUCACUUCUUCUCUUCUUAUCAUUCAUAUUCAACCAAAACAUAUGUUAUGCACAAGAUCCACCAAGCAUAACAGGAUAUACUUGUAAUCCCAACCAAUUCAAUCCAUGUCAAACUUAUGUGUUAUACAGAGCUAGAGCACCAGAGUUUCUUGAUUUAGCCUCAAUAGGUGAUCUUUUUUCAGUAAGUAGGGUAAUGAUUGCAAACCCAAGUAAUAUUUCCAACCCAAACACAACUCUUGUUAAUGAUCAACUCCUUUUUAUCCCCAUCACAUGUUCUUGCAAUAACAUCAACACAACUUUUGGUAGCAUAUCUUAUGCAGGCUUAAACUACAGUUUCAAACCAGGUGACACUAUGUAUGAUAUGUCAACAUCCAAAUACCAAAAUCUUACUACUUAUCAAUCUGUUGAGGCUGUUAAUCCCACAGUUGUAGCAACCAACAUUGAUGUAGGCCAGGCCAUAAAAUUCCCAAUUUUUUGUAAGUGUCCAAACACGACACAAAAUCAACCAAGACUACUCAUAAGUUAUGUUUUUCAACCUAAUGAUAACAUUUCUUCUAUCGCAUCAAGAUUCGGGAUAACCCCACAAUCCAUAACACAAAUUAAUGGAAAUAAUACCAACAUUCUUGAUACCCUUUUUAUCCCUCUUUCUAAUCUACCUAAUCUUACACAGCCAGCAUCUUCAAACACCCCACCCCCACCCCCAGCACCAGCACCAGUAAUUCAAGAAAAUGACAGAAAAGGGACUGUCAUAGGGUUAGCAAUUGGUUUAGGGGUUUGUGGGCUGCUGUUGAUUUUGAUUCUUGGUUUGUUUUACAAGGAGAAAACAGUAAAGAAAGAAAAGUAUAGUGAUGUAGAAAGGCAAAAAAGUUUGUAUCUUGGAUCAAAAAAGAAGUCUUUUGUUGAUAAAGAUGUUGAAGUGAAUUUGUUGGCUGAUUUAUCAGAGUGUUUGGAUAAGUAUAAAAUGUAUAAAAUGGUACAACUUUGGGAAGCAACAAAUGGAUUUGAUGAAGGGUGUUUGAUUCAAGGGUCUGUGUUUAAAGGAACAAUAGAUGAAGAAGUGUUUGCAAUCAAAAAAAUGAAAUGGAAUGCCCGUGAAGAACUCAAAAUCCUGCAAAAGGUGAACCAUGGGAAUUUGGUGAAGCUAGAGGGUUUUUGCAUAGACCCUAAAGAAGCAAAUUGCUACUUAGUCUAUGAGUAUGUUGAAAAUGGUUCACUACAUUCUUGGCUUCACGGUGAAAAACCUGAAAAAUUGAGCUGGAAAACAAGACUAAGAAUUGCCACUGAUGUUGCAAAUGGUCUCUUAUACAUCCAUGAACAUACAAGGCCAAGAGUUGUCCACAAAGACAUCAAGAGUAGCAACAUUCUCCUAGACUCCAGCAUGAGAGCCAAAGUUGCCAAUUUUGGUCUAGCUAAAUCAGGUUGCAAUGCUAUAACAAUGCACAUUGUAGGUACUCAGGGGUACAUCGCCCCUGAGUACCUAACCGAUGGCAUUGUAUCCACUAAGAUGGAUGUUUUCUCAUUCGGAGUUGUGUUGCUCGAGCUAGUGUCAGGGAAGGAGGCUAUCGACGAUGAAGGGAAAGUCUUGUGGGCAAAAAUUAGCGAUUUUUCAGAAGGGAGUGAAGAGAGGAAGGUGAGGAAAUUGCAAGAAUGGAUGGAUGAAAGUCUUUUGAGGGAAGAAUUAACAAUGGAGAGUGUUGUGAAUGUGAUGACUGUGGCUAUUUCAUGUUUGAAUAAAGAUCCUUCAAGAAGGCCAGGGAUGAUUGAAAUUGUGUAUGCCUUAUCUAAAAGUAUUGAUCUAUUUUCUGAUGUUUCAGAGGAAGGACCAUCUCCAAGGCAAGUCACAGCAAGAUAGACUACAUAAUAGUACUAGCAUAUUAUGUAAAGUUGUUUUGAAGUGGAGUAGCAUUUUGAGUUUUGAGGUUUUUACUUUACUUUAAAGUUUGCUUCUAUAUAUGUGUAAUAUUACUCCAAUAUUAUCUUUUCUAGUA